rnacentral:rRNA from 1 species
UACGAAGGGGGCUAGCGUUGCUCGGAAUCACUGGGCGUAAAGGGCGCGUAGGCGGCGUUUUAAGUCGGGGGUGAAAGCCUGUGGCUCAACCACAGAAUGGCCUUCGAUACUAGGACGCUUGAGUAUGGUAGAGGUUGGUGGAACUGCGAGUGUAGAGGUGAAAUUCGUAGAUAUUCGCAAGAACACCGGUGGCGAAGGCGGCUCACUGGCUCAUUACUGACGCUCAGGCGCGACAGCGUGGGGAUCAAACAGG